AUUGAACGCUGGCGGCAUGCUUUACACAUGCAAGUCGAACGGUAACAGGCCUUCGGGUGCUGACGAGUGGCGAACGGGUGAGUAAUGCAUCGGAACAUACCCAGUCGUGGGGGAUAACGUAGCGAAAGUUACGCUAAUACCGCAUACGUCCUGAGGGAGAAAGCGGGGGAGUCGCAAGACCUCGCGCGAUUGGAGUGGCCGAUGUCAGAUUAGCUAGUUGGUGGGUAAAGGCCCACCAACGGCGACGAUCUGUAGCGGGUCUGAGAGGAUGAUCCGCCACACUGGGACUGAGACACGGCCCAGACUCCUACGGGAGGCAGCAGUGGGGAAUUUUGGACAAUGGGGGAAACCCGUGAUCCAGCCAUGCCGCGUGCGGGAAG
rnacentral:rRNA from 1 species